rnacentral:tRNA from 1 species
GGUCUGGUAGUUCAGCGGCCCAGAACCCCACCGGUCAGGUGGUGACGCCGGUUCGAAUCCGGCCCGGACCA